CCACUUUGUGGUUCAUGACUGGGGUGAAGUCGUAACAAGGUAGCGCUAGGGGAACCUGGCGCUGGAUCACCUCCUUAUACGAUGAU
rnacentral:rRNA from 1 species